UUUAUUCCAGCAAAGCUACAACAGAGGGAGCCAUAUUAAAUGGACAACUGCCCCAUGGGUUACACCUUCUCACAAGCAAGCUCUAUAAAGGAGAAAAGUAUGAUGUGGUCUCCCCUACCAGAAGCAAAUGAAGCAUUCCAAAUGUGUGGAUACAUGACUGCUUGAGAGCUCAAAAGGCAGUUUGAAGAGCUGUAGCUAUGAAGUUUUUUUACUUUGUUUAGGAAGCCAGGAAAGAAAAAUGCCUACCAGUCUGGCAAAGAAACAAUCCAUAAACGUAUCAAGUACAGCAAGAUGAUCUGCUUCUCAUUUCCUCCUUGCUUCCUGGUCUGGGUUUAGCAGGCACAAGCACUUCUCCUCAAGGCCCCUUCCCCACAGCCUACCUGUGUGUUCUGUUUGUAUCCUUGCUUUAAUGAGUCCCCAAUUAACCACUUGGCUGCCUAUUGUAAUGUAAGGUUUAUAUUGCUUAUCUUUGUCAUAUCAUUAUUAUUACUCUGUCCCCAACAACAAAAUACAAAACACCAAAAAACACUUCUCUUCAGCAAUGGCAACCAAAUAAAGCACAUUUUGGAGUUCUUAGGCCAACUUGUUUUAGAGGAAUGGUGAGCCAAAGGCAACAAAAAAAGGUCAUUUUCAGAGAAUCGAUAAAAGGAAAAAACAUCACUACGCGCUAAUUUUGAAACUUUUUUUAGAUUUCUUCCAAAUGUCCUAGGGAAAAAAAAAUCUUCCCUGGGGGAGUUGGGGCAUAUGAAGUUUUGAGAAGAUUGGCUUCUUCUGGGGAGAGCAGGGAGUGAGUUGUGUUUCAAAAGUGGGUUUGUACUGGAAAAUUAAUUGAAGCCUUAACUAGAGAGUGGCUUUAAGGCCCCUACUGCUGGAAACAUCUGUACAUGGGCUAACUACUCCCCCCACGUGGCACCCCACUGACUUUAGUAGAGCUCUCUGCAGAAGUUUGCAGGAAGGAAGAAAUGAAUAUGUGUGCACCUGGCAUAGUCCAGAUUUCCUCAUUUGUAGAAAAAGAAAAAAAAUGCUGCUCAGAGAAACCUGAUUUUGCACUAUCUGCAAUACUCAUUUUUUUCCUUCUCUCUUCUUUGGUUAUGAGUAUUGCUUACAACCACAUAUAGAGCAAAAACAAAAAUAGAUCCUUGGGGGCUUUUUUCCAGCUCCUUUGAGUAUUGUUGAAAUUAUGCAAACCACCUGGUAUUCUUAGAUAAAUUCUCAUAUUUAAAAGAGGAAAAACAUUUAAAUAUAAAUCUGACAGCUGAAAGAUGGCUUAAAUAUAAAAAACAAAACAGAUGGUGGUCUCUUAGAAAAGAAAUCCUAAUAAAACCUCAUUAGAUGUUCAGACCUUGUUGUCAGUUACAGUAUCUGUUCCCUUCUAUCUCUCACAGCCAAUCCGUGUUGUAUCCUGUAGAUCACCAGCAUAAGAAGCAUUCACAAACCUAAUAGAUUGCAUACAUGACAAAGGCCUCAGUAUUAUUAGGACCAUAUAGAAAAUCCCAGUGUUCAGCAACAAAGCCUAAUGUUGCAAAGACUUUGGCAUGUGCUUAACUAUAUGCACAAUGAGACUAUUCAUACGCAUAGAGUUAAGCAUGUUCUUAAGUGUUCUCAGGUUUGGGGCCUACAAUAUGAAGUUUAAAUUAUGGCUGAGAGUGAAAUAGAAAUAAAGAAUUGAAAAUCAAGGCAAACAAUCCUUUUGAUGGGUCAGGACAGGCCAGAAGUCUUCAGAUAAAGAAAGUGAGCCCUGCAUAGGGGCCGACUCCCAAAGUCUCUAGUCUUUCAGUUAAAUGGGUGUAUCAAUAAAUCAUAUUUGAGUUGUAUAUUUCUAACUAGUGAUGUAUUAAUACUGAAAAGAAGGCCUUUGUCCACCUAUUCAAAUAUAAAUAGGAGUCUAUGUCUAGAGCGGGUUUGGAAGCUGCUUAGGGACAAAUGAUGUCCAAGGACAAAUACUAAGAAGUAAACUAAAGCAAAGCACUGGAACAGGAGCUGAUAAAAAUUCAAUGGGAAAUAAGAGAAAAGGGAAGUAUAGAUGUCAAAGAUGAGCUCAAUUUACUUUACCAUCAGCUUGGGGAGUAAACAGGAGUAAGAAGGCGUAAAGGCCUGAUCCAAAGCCCAUCAAAGUUCAUGAGAGUCUUUACCUAAAUGCACAGAGUCAUUUUUCAACCUUAAACAUUUGCUAUUUCUAAAAAAAAAAAGUUAUAUUGAUUUUUUGAGGAGGCAAAGGGAGAGGGAGAGAGUCUAUUUGCAUCAGUACAUUCACAUGCAGAGAAAGCAGGAACAGAGCAUGCCCCCCUCCCCAACCGUUGCAACGUACUUUCUAAUCUGUACUUGUAUCAUUUGAAGAUGAGCAAAGGAUCAGGAGUAAACUGGUUUUACAUUUACUGCCAAAAUAUCUCUAUCCCCAUUAAACUUCUGUUCUCUUUUUAGUUGCAUAUUCCUGUGGCUUAAGAAUGGAGAAAGUAUGUAAAAUAACAUGCUCUUGGGUGUCUCAAUUUUCAACCCAGAGCAGAUUUCUUACUGCCAAGAUAUAAACUCUUUAAAAUGUGGUUUAUAAUAUAAGUGCUGCUACAACCUUGAACUUAGGUGAACAAACAGCAUGACUAUAAUUAUGCUCUAUGAGAAAUAUAAUGUAUUCUGAAGUCAUAAUUUGGUUAUUUAUUGUCUAUAAUUACAUUUUUAGUUUCUCUUUCAAAAUUUUAUAAACAGCAUGGGCUUCUCAGUAAAAAUCAGAUCAGCUACCCGUCUAGUACCACUGUACUUGCCAAUCUGUAGGCUUCCCUUUUAUUCCUUCCUCAGUCACUUGGAAGCGUUGAUGUAUAUGAAAGUGAGAUUAAGGGCCACAUUUACCAAAGUGGCCUCUGAGUUUUCUGUGCUGCUUCUCAGUGAGUUCAGGUUGGAGCUGUAAGUGCUCAGAAUCUCUGACCUAGCUGUCUAAAAUGAGGCAGCCAAAAGCUCAAGUUCAAGACAACUUUUUAAAAUUCAAACAAUCUCAGAUGCUAGGAGACUAAUUCAGAUUCUUAGGGUGGAAACUUAAGAAGUGCUGUGUUUGUGCUCAGUUCUUUUUCCUAAUCCUCCUUUAUACUCUGCCCCUUUAAUGUAGUGAUAGAUUAAUAGAUUUUAAGGCCAGAGGGAAUCAUUAAAUCAUCUAGUUUGACCUUCUGUUUAACACAGGCCAUAAAAUUUCAUUUAGUUACUCUUGUAAUGAGCCCAAUAAUGUUUGACCAUAGCUUAUCUUACAGUUGGGGUUCAAGCUAAUCUUAAACAUAAGCAAAGGAAAUAAUAAUAUUUCCCAAUAAAUGAGUUGGGUCUUUUGACCUUUACACAGAAACAAUAUUAAUGCCCCUUGGCUUUAGCAGCUAGUCAAUAUUCAGGGCCUUGCUGGGUUGUUUCUGUUAGGAGUAGAAAUUGAUUAUACAAGUGACGUAUUUCUUUGCUGCAACCGUAUUUAUUUACAAAAAUUCUUUACGAAGUCCUGUUUCCCUGAACACAGUAGAAACAAACAGUAGCAGACAGUUUCCUUGCUCACCGUUUCCUUCCCUGCUUUUCCAGCUACUCAUGGGAGAGACACAAAGGAUCAAGUGACCCUCCAGCAGGGUCCAGUGCCCACAGCAGCCAGUCCAGGUGGGGAGAGGAAGGGGCGGGGCCAGAUCCUCUCCUUCUCCCACCGCGCUGCCUGGGAUGCUGCCAGCAGCAGCACAGCAGCUGACUUUGACUGGGGGAGUACCUGGCUGUCGAAGCAGCAGGCUGCCCCCCACCCUGGCUCAGCUUCUGGGGACAGCGGCAGAGCGAGCAGGAGCCCUCCUCUCCCCCCUCUCCCCCCGUCCUGUCUGGCAUGCUCAGAAUCGGCUCUUGUCCCCAGAAGCUGAGCCUGGCCAGGGAGCGGUGCUUCUGGGGACAGGAGCCAACUCUAAGCAUGCCAAGGAGGGCAGGGGAGCUCCAACUCAUUCAGCUGCUAUCCCAGAAGCCAAGCCCAGGUGGGAGGCAUCCCGCUGCCGCCGCAGCCAGGCACUCUCCCAGGCAGGUGCUGUGCUGCACCGGGCGUCAUCCAGGAGUGGCUCUGGGACUUGUCUGCCAGGAAGAGCAGCCGAAUAUACCAGAAGGAUCCAGCGCAGUGGGAGGACAGAGUCCCCCUCCCCAGGUAAUGUGGGAUGGGGAGAGUGCAGAGUCCCCAGGCUGGGGGCAGGGAGGAGGUCACGUGUCCUCUCCUUUAGCUGGCACUCCCUUUGUGUCCCUCCCAUGAGUCGCCUAUUCUCUGCUCCCUCAGGACCAUGCUCACCGCUGCUUCUCUGGCUUUCGGUUGGCUGUUUCCUGGUUGUAUUCUCUUGGCUUCCUACCUGCUUUCUAUCGUUGACCCACAGAAGUAGCUCCAACCCCUUUGCAAUCAGACCCAAGGAAACCCUUCACACCACUAGCUUAGCUUCUACUCGGGCCUUGACAUACUGGUCCAUGCUUUUUAGGCUGACUAGACAACAAGUGUGAAAAAUCGGGACGGGGGAUGGGGGGUAAUAGGAGCCUGUAUAAGAAAAAGACCCAAAAAUCAGGACUGUCCCUAUAAAAUUGGGACAUCUGGUCACCUUAAUGCUUUUAGAUGGUGGCUAGCAUGCCCAUCAGCUUUAACAAGAUCUGUGAUUGCCUGUAGAUCAAAGACACACUUGAUGGCAGCCAUUAACACCUUGCAGAAUAACAAUAUGGAGAAACCACAUGGACACAAUGGAGAACCAAAUAAAUAUAUUUAGUCAAUACACCAAACAUUCCAGUUUUGUCUGACUUGAUAACUCCAACAUGGCCUCUGAUUUUAACUUCUGACCUCAAGGGAAUGUCCUUCUAAAUGAGAUGAACAUUUCACUGGAAGAGGGCCAAGCAUGACUGAUUGGAGAAGAGGGACAGGAAGACGAAACAAUUAAUGUUCUUAGUCCAUAUAGGUAUCACUGUUAUCUGUCAAUCAUAUACAUGUGGCACUAAAAUGAGAAUCUAUGGUUCAAAAUGCACAGAUCCCUAUUCCCUCUGCUAAAGGAACAGCCCUUUAUUUCAGCCAGUUCAGAGAACUCAUAGAUGUAAGCAAAUCUGAGUUAGUCCACCCAGUAAAGGGCCACGGCAGGAAUUAAAGUGAAGAGGGGGAAAGUGUGCAUUCUGCUGAAAGCAGCAAGAGAGCACCCCUUUUGGCUUUUGGAAAGCUCAGUUGUCCCAUAGAUCCCCCUCCUCCAGCCCACAAAAGUGCAGCAUGAGGAGAUGUUUCUGGGGUUCCUACCUGGACCACCACUACGUGGAAAAGUAGCAUCACAUGAUGGGACAUGAAGAGGUGUCCCAACUCAGCAUCCCACAUCUGUCUCUUGUAAAGGUAGUUCUAUCCCUCUGCCAAAUUCCCCACUCUUCCAGUGGGAAAGACAAAUAAAUAUAUAUGUUUUAGAUAUGUAGCUCAAAGAGCUAGCUAAGCCUUUUAUUAUAUUCAGCAAUAAUGCAAGGAACAUAUUGGCCUGUAUCCUGUAAGACAUUAGCUUAAACAAGUUAACAUAAGUAUAGUCAAGCAUAGUAGGCCUGUGACCCUUGGCACUGAUAAAUGGUCUGACAGUUACCCUUUGAUUUUGGGGAGCUAGGGAUAACUUGCUCAAUAGCAGGAGUUGGAAUCUAACAAAAUCAGGCAACCACAGCAACACUGAAGUGAUACUGGGCUUGGAUAUUUUACGACAGAAUAGUUGGCAGAUGUCGAACCACAAACUUGCUUGAGCAUUAGGUGAAAUAUAUAAUAAUGAGUUAAACAGCCUUAAUAUGUAUUAAAAUGUUAACCUAUAGGAAAAGUACACCCCAAUAUUAUUAUAAAAUACUUAGAUUUAGACACGGAAGGCUGGGGAUUAGAAUGAAUAUUCUUGGUAGUGCUCAGGCCCUAUCAUAGGGCAAACCACCAUCUGGAGGUUUGACCCUUCAGCUCUAUUGUUAUCUACCAUCCAUCUUGGGCAUUGAGGAACCGCAGACACAUGCAGCAUGCCAGAAGCAAGGCUGUUCCUUUGUCUCUCACCACCAGGUCCUCAGAGGAAGGGUGUAAAUAUCAAGUCUCAGAGCAUAUUCAAAAAAUGAUACCACAGGUAUCCCCAAGACUGUAUUAUUCCUAUUUGUUUAUGUUGCUUGAAGCUUUUCAGCCUUUAUUAUUGAUCCUAAUGAAAACCACUAACGCUUUGCUUUGCCCUCAGUGUGAGUGCUCUUGCCACACACCUUGAGGUUCCCUACAUUAUAUUGAACUUGUUGCUUUUAAUUCUGUGUAGCCUGAUUCUGAGACAAGAACCCCAUUAACCCUCAGCUCAUAGAUCAGGAUGAGUUGACAAUCAAUAUAAGUAUUAUUAAUCAUUAAAAAGGAUCAGGCAACACCAGAAACCUCCCUUUUGUACUGUUGAAAAUGCAAAAGAUGCCAGCAUCUUUCUAAUACAUUCCCAAAUCCACAGGGAACACAGAAUGAUUAUUUAAAGCAAUAACAUAAUAAAAUAAAAUGAGUACACACAUUGCACUAGGUAUUGAAUGUUUUCUUGGAGAAGAACACUCUCAAUUUUCCCAUUUUAGUUUGGUUGUACUGAUUCUGAUGAAAUUGUAAGGAUGGCAUUCAUAGAAAUGGUCAUGGGAAUCACAAUUCCACAAACUAGAUAAUUUUUAAAGAGGAUUUGUCUUGCCAGGUAGACAUUUCAGUGUUCUCAUCUGAGUCUGUAGAGGAGUGCAUGAGCUAGUUUUUUUCCUGAAAUCAACCCAAAUUAGACCAUUUAAACCAUUACAUUUAGAAAGUCAAUUGUCCCCAAGUUGGAAUCGGCAUAUGUCACGAAUUACACUGCUCUACAGCCAAAAUGCUUCUGAAAUAAAUGUAGUCAAACAUUACUAAUUCUGGGUCACUGAGAACGAAAAUGAUGCUUAACAUUG